CAGUAGCCGCGGGAAUACGAGGGGGGCAAGCGUUGUUCGGAAUUAUUGGGCGUAAAGCGCACGUAGGCGGCUUGGUAAGUUAGAGGUGAAAGCCCGGAGCUCAACUCCGGAAUUGCCUUUAAGACUGCCGAGCUAGUAGGUGAGAGAGGUAAGUGGAAUUCCGAGUGUAGAGGUGAAAUUCGUAGAUAUUCGGAAGAACACCAGUGGCGAAGGCGGCUUACUGGCUCAUUCUAGACGCUGAGGUGCGAAAGCGUGGGGAGCAAACAGGAUUAGAUACCCGCGUAGUCCCUGUCUCUUAUAA
rnacentral:rRNA from 1 species